GUGUUCCUCAGAUGUAUCCUCUCAAAUAGCACCACAAGGGGGAGGGGAGGGGACAGAGGAAGAGGAAAAGCACUGAGUGGGAGAGAGAGAAAGGAAAAAGGAGAAUAAGCAGAGUGGAUAGAAGAGGACAAAACUGACUGCAAGCAGCUCCACGGCUACCUGUCAACACAUGCUGUGCUCCAUGGCUAACUCGGGCUGCCUCCUUAUCUCCAACUCAGGCAUGCUUCCUCACUCUCUCCCCUGCCCUCCAGCCUUUCUCUACCUCCCGCAGGGUAAUCAGGACACCACGGCUCCUCCUGAAGCAAUGGCUCAGCCCUACCCCCCUGCCCAGUAUCCUCCGCCUCCCCAGAAUGGAAUCCCUGCAGAGUACGCACCCCCGCACCCCCACCCCACACAGGACUACUCGGGGCAGAGCACGGUACCGGAGCACCCCAUGACCCUCUACACACCAGCACAGAGCCAUGCCGAGCAGCCGGGCGCUGACGCCAGCACACAGUCCAUAGCGGGGACGCAGACGGUAUCGGUAAGAGCCCCCGUGGAGCCCCGGGUGGGCAGCAGGGCCUUUCAGCAGACAGAUGAAGCUGCGCAGACAGAAAGCCAACAGCUGCAUUCCUCAGAGAACACGGACAAGCAGCAGCCCAAGAGGUUACACGUCUCCAACAUCCCCUUCCGGUUCCGGGAUCCAGACCUGCGGCAAAUGUUCGGGCAAUUCGGGAAGAUCCUCGACGUGGAGAUUAUUUUCAAUGAGCGGGGCUCCAAGGGUUUUGGGUUUGUAACUUUUGAAACUAGCACAGAUGCCGACCGGGCACGAGAGAAGCUGAAUGGCACAAUCGUAGAGGGACGGAAAAUUGAGGUGAAUAAUGCCACAGCCCGAGUCAUGACCAACAAAAAGGCUGCAAAUCCCUACAUCAAUGGCUGGAAGUUGAACCCGGUGGUGGGAGCUGUCUACAGUCCUGAAUUCUAUGCAGUAACAGGGUUCCCGUACCCAGCCACAGGGACAGCCGUGGCAUACCGAGGGGCGCACCUACGGGGCCGGGGGCGUGCUGUCUACAACACAUUCCGCGCCGCACCCCCACCUCCACCUCUCCCUACCUAUGGCGCGGUCGUUUAUCAGGAUGGAUUCUAUGGUGCAGAAAUUUACGGGGGUUAUGCAGCCUACAGAUACGCCCAGCCAGCGGCGGCAGCAGCAUACAGCGACAGCUAUGGCAGAGUGUAUGCGGCCGCAGACCCAUACCACCACACCAUCGGCCCUGCCGCCACGUACAGCAUUGGCACCAUGGCUAGUCUAUACCGAGGAGGGUACAGCCGCUUCACUCCCUACUAGCAAGACACCCAGCCCCUCAAACACUAACACUGACUGCUCACUAGAAACCAAAAAACCAAACUAAGCCAAGGCAGAGCCUCCCGGAAGAACACAGUGCCCCUGCCAGGGGCCAGGGCUCCGCCCGGCUCAGCAUGGCACCUAGAACCAUAGGUCUUUACCUCCAGCUGCUCUCAUCCCACGGCUCUUUGUUCACCCACCUGUCUCUCUGUGACCUGCCCUGGCUGAACUGACUGUGUUGCAAAGCCCUGCUGCAGGGCUGGGGCGUGUCCUGCUCUCCCUAGAAGUACAACCAGCAGUGAACCACGGGAGAGAGCCCAGGCUAAGCCCCCUUCUCUGCCCCCGCUGCCAGGAAUACGUGAAGUCCAAAGGCCAGGGCGUUCCAAGAGAGCAGCCUUCCUGCACAGAGCCGCGCCUGGCUUGGCACAGUCCUCCAUUCCUUAGGCCUCUUCACUGCCCCAACUCCCUCCAGCAUCUCUGCGGCAGGCAAGCCUGCUCCUGCUAGGCUGGGCUUGUUCUUCUCGUGCAGUGACACCACAGCUGUUUCCUUCUGGGACCAGGAAGGACAAAACAAAUUAAAAACAAAGCAACAAAACACAAAACAAAGAGGCAACCAACCAGCCGAGUCCCAUACUGUCCACACACAUGCACCAAGCAAGCAGGUCCAGCAGGAGGCGCUGCACCCGCCUGAGUCACGGAGAGUACACAGCGACCGGACAGCGCCGCGGCCAGCUGGGCUGAGAGCCGCCCCUUCCAGCUCCACCCUGCCCCGGCCCGCAGCCAUGUUGGGAGACUUGGGCCCCCGCUCCCCUCCCCAGCCUGCCGGUGCUUCCAGCCCAGGGCAGGGAGGGUGAGAGCGAGCAGUGCGGACUGCUGGGACAGCCUUGGAGCUAGGACUCUGCCAGCCCAAGGCACUCGGCGUGGGCACCGCGUCUUCCUUUCUGCCCUCCCACGCCUGUGCUGUGGGUGCCAGGGCCCUGGGCAGAGCAUCGCAGCAGCCUGCAUCCUCCCGCAGCUUUGGGGGACUUGGCCUCAGGGUAGGAUUCUUGCUUUUUGUUUUCAGAGCUCCAGUGCUUUUGCGCUUGCUGGCCACUGGUGUGUUGAGUGUGUGAGGCCUCAGCUCUCUGAGCAGAGGUGGGAUAGUUGAUGCAGCAGCAGCUUUGCCGGGGCUGCUGGGUGUUGCAGGGGAAGAGUGGCUGUGUUUAAGAGGGAUGUUAGCUACGUGGAGGUUGUAGCUCCCUUGCAUUUUCAUCACCCCGGUGCCCUGAGCUCCUGCCUUCCCCCAGCCCCAUGGGGCUAAAGCCAAGCAGGAGCUGCUUCCUGCUCCACACCUACCCAGGGCAGAUGGAGUUGGGAAGAGGCUGCAUCUGUAGGCCACAACAUGGCGCACCAGGGAUCAUAUCAGCCCCUGCCCCUCAGCAUGGAGCCUGAGGAGGCCAUGUGAUCCCACAGUGGCUGUCUCAGCCACCCCAUCACCACUGGGGGGCAGGGAGCCAAGCUACGUGUGCCCCAGCCAUGCCUGGGGCACGCACACCCCUUAGUGGUGGCUGCAGGAUCGCUGCUCAGAGCCACACCUGCCCCAAGCCCCAGUCCCAUGCCAGCUAGGUGCUGGAGAGGCCCACCGGGCUGAGGGUCACUAUGGGCAGGGCAUGGGAAGCAGUGGGCAGGGUUGGGCAGUGAGGGGAGGACAGUGCUGGCUCUAAACCAGACAGGUGGGGGCAGCUGGGCUCUAAGGCUGGCCAGGGCACCAGAUGCCCCAGGGCCUUGCCA